ACGGAUCCUUCGGGAUUAGUGGCAGACGGGUGAGUAACGCGUGGGAAGCUACCUUGUGGUAGGGGACAACAGUUGGAAACGACUGCUAAUACCCUAUGAGCCCUAUGGGGGAAAGAUUUAUCGCCAUGAGAUGUGCCCGCGUUAGAUUAGCUAGUUGGUAAGGUAAUGGCUUACCAAGGCGACGAUCUAUAGCUGGUCUGAGAGGAUGAUCAGCCACACUGGGACUGAGACACGGCCCAGACUCCUACGGGAGGCAGCAGUGGGGAAUAUUGGACAAUGGGGGCAACCCUGAUCCAGCCAUGCCGCGUGUGUGAUGACGGCCUUAGGGUUGUAAAGCACUUUCAGCAGUGAAGAUAAUGACAUUAACUGCAGAAGAAGCCCCGGCUAACUUCGUGCCAGCAGCCGCGGUAAUACGAAGGGGGCUAGCGUUGUUCGGAAUCACUGGGCGUAAAGAGUACGUAGGCGGACUGAUAAGUUAGGGGUGAAAUCCC
rnacentral:rRNA from 1 species